GGCAACCUCUCGGGGUUACAGCCUUGCUGAAUUAUUCACCCUUGUCUUUUGCGUACUUCUUGUUUCCUUGGUGGGUUCGCCCACCACUAGGACAAACAUAAACCUUUUGUAAUUGCAAUCAGCGUCAGUAACAAAUUAAUAAUUACAACUUUCAACAACGGAUCUCUUGGUUCUGGCAUCGAUGAAGAACGCAGCGAAAUGCGAUAAGUAGUGUGAAUUGCAGAAUUCAGUGAAUCAUCGAAUCUUUGAACGCACAUUGCGCCCUUUGGUAUUCCAAAGGGCAUGCCUGUUCGAGCGUCAUUUGUACCCUCAAGCUUUGCUUGGUGUUGGGCGUCUUGUCUCUAGCUUUGCUGGAGACUCGCCUUAAAGUAAUUGGCAGCCGGCCUACUGGUUUCGGAGCGCAGCACAAGUCGCACUCUCUAUCAGCAAAGGUCUAGCAUCCAUUAAGCCUUUUUUCAACUUUUGACCUCGGAUCAGGUAGGGAUACCCGCUGAACUUAAGCAUAUCAA
rnacentral:rRNA from 1 species